rnacentral:rRNA from 1 species
UACGUAGGGGGCAAGCGUUGUCCGGAAUCAUUGGGCGUAAAGAGCGUGUAGGCGGCCAGAUAAGUCCGCUGUGAAAUCUCGAGGCUCAACUUCGAGCUGUCGGUGGAAACUGUCUGGCUAGAGUCCGGAAGAGGAGAAUGGAAUUCCUGGUGUAGCGGUGAAAUGCGCAGAUAUCAGGAAGAACACCCGUGGCGAAGGCGGUUCUCUGGGACGUGACUGACGCUGAGACGCGAAAGCGUGGGGAGCGAACAGG